rnacentral:rRNA from 1 species
UUCGGGUUAAGUCCCGUAACGAGCGCAACCCUUGUCCUUAGUUACCAGCACGUUAUGUGGGCACUCUAAGGAGACUGCCGGUGACAAACCGGAGGAAGUGGGGAUGACGUCAAGUCAUCAUGGCCCUUACGGCCUGGGCUACACACGUGCUACAAUGGUCGGUACAAAGGGUUGCCAAGCCGCGAGGUGGAGCUAAUCCCAUAAAACCGAUCGUAGUCCGGAUCGCAGUCUGCAACUCGACUGCGUGAAGUCGGAAUCGCUAGUAAUCGUGAAUCAGAAUGUCACGGUGAAUACGUUCCCGGGCCUU